AAAUUGAAGAGUUUGAUCAUGGCUCAGAUUGAACGCUGGCGGCAGGCCUAACACAUGCAAGUCGAACGGUAACAGGAAGAAGCUUGCUGCUUCGCUGACGAGUGGCGGACGGGUGAGUAAUGUCUGGGAAACUGCCUGAUGGAGGGGGAUAACUACUGGAAACGGUAGCUAAUACCGCAUAACGUCGCAAGACCAAAGAGGGGGACCUUCGGGCCUCUUGCCAUCGGAUGUGCCCAGAUGGGAUUAGCUAGUAGGUGGGGUAACGGCUCACCUAGGCGACGAUCCCUAGCUGGUCUGAGAGGAUGACCAGCCACACUGGAACUGAGACACGGUCCAGACUCCUACGGGAGGCAGCAGUGGGGAAUAUUGCACAAUGGGCGCAAGCCUGAUGCAGCCAUGC
rnacentral:rRNA from 1 species